GAACACCUCAACUCCUCAUGCUUCGCCAUGAUGAGCUUGGACUUCUGGAGGUUUUGCUGGCCUGCGGUCGGCUCCUCUCAAAUGGAUCAGCUCGCCAGUGUUUGGUGGCAUCACGGGUGUGAUAACUAUCUACGCUCGUGGCCGUCUGCCAGGUAACCUUCGGCAACGGAGGUUCGCUGGGGCUAACAAAAGUCUUUCCUCAGCGGAGACAGCUUUUUGAAC
rnacentral:misc_RNA from 1 species